rnacentral:rRNA from 1 species
UGAGGAAUAUUGGUCAAUGGGCGAAAGCCUGAACCAGCCAUGUCGCGUGAAGGAUGAAGGUCCUAUGGAUUGUAAACUUCUUUUGCAGGAGGGUAAAGUGAGCUACGUGUAGUUCAUUGCAAGUACCCUGCGAAUAAGCAUCGGCUAACUCCGUGCCAGCAGCCGCGGUAAUACGGUGGAUGCGAGCGUUAUCCGGAUUUAUUGGGUUUAAAGGGUGCGUAGGGGGACGAAUUAGUCAGCGGUGAAAUUUUGCGGCUCAACCGUAAAACUGCCGUUGAAACUGUUAGUCUUGAGUGCGGUAGAGGUAGGCGGAAUGUGUGGUGUAGCGGUGAAAUGCUUAGAUAUCACACAGAACACCGAUUGCGUAGGCAGCUUACUGGAGCGCAACUGACGCUGAGGCACGAAAGCGUGGGGAUCGAACA